rnacentral:rRNA from 1 species
UGCCAGACUCCUACGGGAGGCAGCAGUGGGGAAUAUUGCACAAUGGGGGGAACCCUGAUGCAGCGACGCCGCGUGGGCGAGGAAGUAUUUCGGUAUGUAAAGCCCUAUCGGCAGGGAAGAAGAAAUGACGGUACCUGAAUAAGAAGCACCGGCUAAAUACGUGCCAGCAGCCGCGGCAAUACGUAUGGUGCAAGCGUUAUCCGGAUUUACUGGGCGUAAAGGGGGCGCAGACGGCGAUGCAAGCCAGGAGUGAAAGCCCGGGGCCCAACCCCGGGACUGCUCUUGGAACUGCGUGGCUGGAGUGCAGGAGGGGCAGGCGGAAUUCCUGGUGUGGCGGUGAAAUGCGUAGAUAUCAGGAGGAACACCGGUGGCGAAGGCGGCCUGCUGGACUGCAACUGACGUUGAGGCCCGAAAGCGUGGGGAGCAAACAGGAUUAGAUACCCCUGUAU